AUCAAGUGUGAAUCCAGCAAAAGGUAAGAACCCCCGUCCGUAUGCGGUCGUGAUGCAGUCAACUUCAGGUGGUAAAAGAGAGCGGAUAUUUCUUUCUGGGCGCUUAUUUCAAGUGAUUGAAAGUGCUUCCUCGACCGCUCGACGUGUAUCGUUAAGGAACAAUCUGGAUAAUAUGUAACUUUUAAUAAAUUAUCAUUCUUGAAAUGCCAACGUUUCGUGAACCUUGCAGUCCACUUCAUCAGGACAAGGAGCAGCUUGGUAGAAGGAGCCUGAUACUAUCUCCACGAGAGAAAAGAGUCGUGAGAGUCCGCUAGCCAUAACAAUAGUACGCAGGAGAAACCUUUCAGCCUCUUUUCAAAUAGAAAAAGGAAUUAUGCGUUCUCAGUGUGUAUCCUUAAGAAGAUAAAAGACGUGGAUCAGAUAAUCGCAAAUCAAAGAUCAUAAAAGAGAAGAUUUUAUUAACCUUGCCCGGGGAUAACGGAUGGUUAUAAUUCGUUUGGAAUCGUGGAACAGUUCCGAAAAUAACAUCAAAAUCUGUUUGCAAACUUUUGCAAGGAUCAUCAUUGCGUUUUCUGGUCAGCGAUCAGAUUAUCUCUUAACUUCUAGUUUUCCAGAUUUUGCCGUCUCGGAACAUUUUAUGUUCCUUAUAUGAUUAUACAUAUAUGGUGCCACAUAUAAUUAUAUCUCACAUAUAAUUACAUACUAUUAUAUACGUCGCUCUUCCUGUCAGUUCCUUUGUAGUUGCUCGAAAAGAGCAAUAGACGGCUUUAUUACUACAUUUUGAGAAAGAAAAAGGAUUGAUGUAUGGAUCUGGCAUGCAGAUUAGCAUAAAACAGUUAUAAGAAUAGCAGUCCCUACAUUCCAUGGCGCGAAGCAUCAUUUUUUUUAAUAGUUGGACAU